GGACAAGCAAGGUGCUGUAGAUUUCUCUGUGUUGCUGUUUGAGCCGUUGGUUCUCCUGGAGGAGCUCGUCAUGACUAGCUUCCCCAGUGUGAGAAUGACCGUUGUCACUGGAGGAGCUUGGGAUCUUGUUGGAUUAAAUGCCAGUGGAGUGUGAGAUCUCUUUCUGCAUAUGGAUGAACUGCUCUGCACCCUCACGGGACCUGCUGGAGGACAUGCGUCAGCGUGGACAGCAAACACGUCAUGGUGUGCCCUGCGGAUGUACACAGCUAUCACAUGCCCAUCAGAAAGAAGAUGAAAGCUGGGGAAAGCAAGUUCCUGAGCUGUGAGAUUGGGGCUCACUGUCCUGAAGGCAAAGCCCUGGUCCCUGAACCUGGGGGUUUCGCUCAGCUAUGCGCCAAUUCAGGUUCCAGUCCCCCAUUACAGUUGUGCUAGCCACAGCGGCAGCUGGACCAGUCACCUCCAUGCUGCAUGGCCUCGAGGGAUGGUGACUCACAUUCAAAAUGUAAAAUGGUGCCAUGGAAGUCCAGCUGUGAGGGACUUUACUGAGUUUACAAUGUGCAAAAUUGAGUUUGAAUCAGAAAUGCCAGAUCGGAAGGACAGCUUUCAAUUUGAAGUUUGGCCUUGAGUUUUAAGUGUGUGUUUAGAACUGGAGAGGGAAGCCAAAAAACCCUGGCUGGCCGGAGUCCUGUGGUGGGAUGAGCGGUGCUCGGGGAUUCUGUAUGUGGUGCUGGCCCUUGGGAAGUGUUCUGUCUGUUCCUCUAGGUUGUGCCCCUCCUGUGUCCCAGGGAAAAGUGAGGCUGGGAACAUUGUUCAUGCCAGAGCCCUGCUUCUCCCUAGGGGCCCCCGUCCUCUGGUUCAGGCUUAAUGGGAGCCUCUGCGGGGUGGAGGGCCUGUGUAGCACCCCUGGGUGCCCGUCCCCAGGCUGAGGACGGUGUUUGCUGUGCACUGUUUUGCUCUGGUGAAGUCAGGGGGAAGUAAGUUAUAUACACAAUGAUCCAGGAAAAAUGCCCGAGUGUGUGACAGGAGGGCAGAGUCCACAGGACGCCCCGGGAAACACGCUCGGCUGGAAACCAGGCUGCACUGCAGGUCUCGGCCCUGGGAAGACUCCAUCUGAGUGGAGCCCCUGACUCUCUUUCGGCUCUUGGUUCCCUUGUGGACAGGUCAUAGAGCUGCCUGCCACG